rnacentral:lncRNA from 1 species
AUGAGUAAAAACUCCUCCAUCACUCUGACCUUUGGCACCUUGUAUCCCAGAUUCUAUUGUGAUUGUAAGAAUAAUCAUCUCUCCACUGUGUGUCACAGGGUCUGGAUCAAUGUCUCUCCUGGAAAUCAAGCUAGCAGGGACUCAUCUCUCCACGUUUCAUUACAGUGUUCAUCUUCAAUACAGAAGAAACGCAGUCUGACGAAACUAGAGCUUCCACAAGGCGCGAAAAUUGAAAAGCAACAUGGACUGCGAUAGGACAAUGAAGAUUCCUGCUAGGAAGAAGUCCUUGGCCUCCCGCUCUAUAAAUACCCCAGCACUUCCUCUUCGCUCUCUCGCUGUCUUCCUGCCUCCUGCUCACCUCCCUACAAUAAAGAUCUCCUGCCAGACCUCUCGGUGCGUGAGUGGCCUAAUUGGGAUGGGGCACCCGAAGGGGCAUGCGACCCCCCUUUCAAGAUCAUUUUAGAAAAAUACCAGGACAUAGAAGAUAACAGGAAAAAAUCUAGAUGACCUGGAGUUUGGCAAUGACUUUUUAGAUACAAUACCAU